GAUCAUGGCUCAGGACGAACGCUGGCGGCGUGCCUAAUACAUGCAAGUAGAACGCUGAAGAGAGGAGCUUGCUCUUCUUGGAUGAGUUGCGAACGGGUGAGUAACGCGUAGGUAACCUGCCUUGUAGGCGGGGGAUAACUAUUGGAAACGAUAACUAAUACCGCAUAACAAUGGAUGACCCAUGUCAUUUAUUUGAAAGGGCAAAUGCUCCACUACAAGAUGGACCUGCGUUGUA
rnacentral:rRNA from 1 species